AGUGAACGCUGGCGGUAGGCCUAACACAUGCAAGUCGAACGGCAGCACAGUAAGAGCUUGCUCUUACGGGUGGCGAGUGGCGGACGGGUGAGGAAUACAUCGGAAUCUACUUUUUCGUGGGGGAUAACGUAGGGAAACUUACGCUAAUACCGCAUACGACCUACGGGUGAAAGCAGGGGAUCUUCGGACCUUGCGCGAUUGAAUGAGCCGAUGUCGGAUUAGCUAGUUGGCGGGGUAAAGGCCCACCAAGGCGACGAUCCGUAGCUGGUCUGAGAGGAUGAUAAGCCACACGGGAACGGAGACACGGUCCAGACUCCUACGGGAGGCAGCAGUGGGGAAUAUUGGACAAUGGGCGAAAGCCUGAUCCAGCAAUACCGCGUGGGUGAAGAAGGCCUUCGGGUUGUAAAGCCAUUUUGUUGGGAAAGAAAAGCAGCAGGUUAAUACCCCGCUGUUCUGACGGUACCCAAAGAAUAAGCACCGGCUAACUUCGUG
rnacentral:rRNA from 1 species